UUAGUGCAUCUUGGAUCUCAGAAAUUGUGGGCUGGAUGAGUGGGCUGUGAGGUGGAUUGAGGACUGGCUGGAUGGCAGAGCCCGGAGGGUGGUGAUAAAUGGUG